AUUGAACGCUGGCGGCAUGCCUUACACAUGCAAGUCGAACGGCAGCACGGGAGCAAUCCUGGUGGCGAGUGGCGAACGGGUGAGUAAAGUAUCGGAACGUGCCCAGUCGUGGGGGAUAACGUAGCGAAAGUUACGCUAAUACCGCAUACGAUCUAUGGAUGAAAGCGGGGGAUCGCAAGACCUCGCGCGAUUGGAGCGGCCGAUAGCAGAUUAGGUAGUUGGUGGGGUAAAGGCUCACCAAGCCGACGAUCUGUAGCUGGUCUGAGAGGACGACCAGCCACACUGGGACUGGGAAACGGCCCAGACUCCUACGGGAGGCAGCAGUGGGGAAUUUUGGACAAUGGGCGCAAGCCUGAUCCAGCCAUGCCGCGUGCAGGAUGAAGGCCUUCGGGUUGUAAACUGCUUUUGUACGGAACGAAAAGGUUUGACUUAAUACGUUGGACUCAUGACGGUACCGUAAGAAUAAGCACCGGCUAACUACGUGCCAGCCGCCGCCGUAAUAC
rnacentral:rRNA from 1 species